GCCUCUCUUCUCUAGAUUUGAGUAUUUGCUUCACCUCUAUUCAUAUAAAACAGUGUACUUAGAGAUGGAUUGAAGACGCAUCAGUGUACUUAGAGAUGGGUCUUUUGCUUUCACAGGAUGGAUCCAAACUCAACUUCUUUACUGAAAAUCAAAUUGCUUGGCAACCCCCAAAAAGCUAGGAAGGAUAUCAAAUGCUUUUGUUAUGAUAAGGUUAUUGAUUCCGACUGACAUUGCUGGUAGGCCAUGGAUUCUUCAUGUUUCCACACUGCUAAAAGCCACAGUGGGUAGGCCUAAAACUGAGAGGUAUAAAGGUUGCGGUGAGAAAAAAAAGAAAAAGCGGCCAACACUUAUGCCCUAUUUGUAAGGACUAUGGGCAUCAUUGGCACAAAUUCAAGAAGGGUAACCCAGAUGACAUUGCUGCUAUUUUAGCUGUGAGAGGACCACCAAAGAAGAGGACAAAGACCACCAAAUCAGCUCAAUCAUCAAUUGUGCCUUGUGAGGAUGAUGCUCCAUCAGCCAUGUGUUUUCCGCCAAGCCAAAUCUUGGAGAAACAAAUAAGGAAAAAGGGAAAGGUGGUAAAUCUUGGACCAGGAGGAGCAAAAAGAUCAAGAACGCAACCCAUUUGUGGUGAACAUGAUGUCGCCAACAAGAAAACACAUGUUGCUGUGAACACACGAAGCAAACGAAGACUUAGUUUGUGAUUCUGAUGUGAUUACUUUCCGUAUCAUGUUUCAUUUGGAAACUUUUGAGCUGUUUAUAUGACCUGGGCACUUCUACGUACUAUAUGUAACCUUUUGUGGACCUGGACUAUUGCAUGUCACAUUUAUGUGUGUGGAGGACCAAAUAUAUGGAUUGUUUGCAUA